rnacentral:tRNA from 1 species
GCGCACGUGGCGGAAUUGGUAGACGCGCCAGCUUGAGGGGCUGGUGGGAGAAAUCCCGUGGAAGUUCGAGUCUUCUCGUGCGCA